GAUCCUGGCUCAGAUUGAACGCUGGCGGCAGGCUUAACACAUGCAAGUCGAGCGGGGAAGGUUGCUUCGGUAACUAACCUAGCGGCGGACGGGUGAGUAAUGCUUAGGAAUCUGCCUAUUAGUGGGGGACAACGUUCCGAAAGGAACGCUAAUACCGCAUACGCCUACGGGGAAAGGCAGGGGAUCUUCGGACCUUGCGCUAAUAGAUGAGCCUAAGUCGGAUUAGCUAGUUGGUGGGGUAAAGGCCUACCAAGGCGACGAU
rnacentral:rRNA from 1 species